rnacentral:tRNA from 1 species
UCCCUAGUCGCUCAGAUGGUAAAGAAUCUGCCUGCAAGGCAGGAUACCCAGGUUGGAUCCCUGGUUGGGAAG